rnacentral:rRNA from 1 species
UGAUGCAGCGACGCCGCGUGAGGGAUGGAGGCCUUCGGGUUGUGAACCUCUGUCGCCGGUGAUGUAGGCUCUGCUUUGUGGGUGGGGUUGACGGUAGCCGGGGUAUGAAGUGCCGGCUAACUACGUGCCAGCAGCCGCGGUAAUACGUAGGGCGCGAGCGUUGUCCGGAAUUAUUGGGCGUAAAGAGCUCGUAGGCGGCUGGUCGCGUCUGUCGUGAAAUCCUCUGGCUUAACUGGGGGCGUGCGGUGGGUACGGGCCGGCUUGAGUGCGGUAGGGGAGGCUGGAAUUCCUGGUGUAGCGGUGGAAUGCGCAGAUACCAGGAGGAACACCGGUGGCGAAGGCGGGUCUCUGGGCCGUGUACUGACGCUGAGGAGCGAAAGCGUGGGGAGCGAACAGGAUUAGAUACCCUGGUAGUCCAUGCUGUAAACGUUGGGCACUAGGUGUGGGGGGUCUUUCCGGGUCUUCCGCGCCGUAGCUAACGCAUUAAGUGCCCCGCCUGGGGAGUACGGCCGCAAGGCUAAAACUCAAAGGAAUUGACGGGGGCCCGCACAAGCGGCGGAGCAUGCGGAUUAAUUCGAUGCAACGCGAAGAACCUUACCA